rnacentral:rRNA from 1 species
CCUACGGGAGGCAGCAGUGAGGCAUAUUGGUCAAUGGACGAAAGUCUGAACCAGCCAAGCAGCGUGAAGGAUGACGGUCCUAUGGGUUGUAAACUUCUUUUAUAUGGGAAUAAAAUGUUCCACGUGUGGGUUUUUGUAUGUACCAUAUGAAUAAGGAUCGGCUAACUCCGUGCCAGCAGCCGCGGUAAUACGGAGGAUCCGAGCGUUAUCCGGAUUUAUUGGGUUUAAAGGGAGCGUAGGUGGAUUGUUAAGUCAGUGGUGAAAGUUUGCGGCUCAACCGUAAAAUUGCAGUUGAAACUGGCAGUCUUGAGUACAGUAGAGGUGGGCGGAAUGCGUGGUGUAGCGGUGAAAUGCUUAGAUAUCACGAAGAACUCCGAUUGCGAAGGCAGCUCACUGGACUGCAACUGACACUGAGGCACGAAAGUGUGGGUAUCAAACAGGAUUAGAUACCCCGGUAGUC